UCGAGAUGGUGAUGAUCUUCUC
rnacentral:siRNA from 1 species